GUUUCCACGUCUCCUUAUCAUUCGACUGUCCAGACUGUAUUUGUGAACUGGACGGAGAACUGAUAAGGGCUUGUGGCGAC
rnacentral:pre_miRNA from 1 species